rnacentral:snoRNA from 1 species
UUCUAUGAUGAAGCGGCACUGGGCUCCGAUAUAAUAUCAUGAGCACGAAAAGCCAUUUUGUGGCAGGCCUAGAAAACCUCGCCCACUGACU